rnacentral:rRNA from 1 species
GAGGCCUAACACAUGCAAGCCGAGCGGUAGAAGAUCUUCGGAUCUUUGAGAGCGGCGCACGGGUGCGGAACACGUGUGCAACCUGCCUUUAUCUGGGGGAUAGCCUUUCGAAAGGAAGAUUAAUACCCCAUAAUAUAAUGAACGGCAUCGUUUAUUAUUGAAAACUCCGGUGGAUAGAGAUGGGCACGCGCAAGAUUAGAUAGUUGGUGAGGUAACGGCUCACCAAGUCAGUGAUCUUUAGGGGGCCUGAGAGGGUGAUCCCCCACACUGGUACUGAGACACGGACCAGACUCCUACGGGAGGCAGCAGUGAGGAAUAUUGGACAAUGGGUGAGAGCCUGAUCCAGCCAUCCCGCGUGAAGGACGACGGCCCUAUGGGUUGUAAACUUCUUUUAUACUGGGAUAAACCUACUCUCGUGAGGGUAGCUGAAGGUACAGUAUGAAUAAGCACCGGCUAACUCCGUGCCAGCAGCCGCGGUAAUACGGAGGGUGCAAGCGUUAUCCGGAUUUAUUGGGUUUAAAGGGUCCGUAGGCGGACUCGUAAGUCAGUGGUGAAAUCUCAUAGCUUAACUAUGAAACUGCCAUUGAUACUGCGGGUCUUGAGUAAAGUAGAAGUGGCUGGAAUAAGUAGUGUAGCGGUGAAAUGCAUAGAUAUUACUUAGAACACCAAUUGCGAAGGCAGGUCACUAUGUUUUAACUGACGCUGAUGGACGAAAGCGUGGGGAGCGAACAGGAUUAGAUACCCUGGUAGUCCACGCCGUAAACGAUGCUAACUCGUUUUU